GACAGAGGGUGCAAACGUUGUUCGGAGUUACUGGGCGUAAAGGGUGUGUAGGCGGUUUUUUAAGUUUGGUGUGAAAUCUCCCGGCUCAACUGGGAGGGUGCGCCGAAUACUGAAAGACUAGAGUGCGGGAGAGGAAAGUGGAAUUCCUGGUGUAGCGGUGAAAUGCGUAGAUAUCAGGAGGAACACCGGUGGUGUAGACGGCUUUCUGGACCGUAACUGACGCUGAGACACGAAAGCGUGGGUAGCAAACAGG
rnacentral:rRNA from 1 species